AUGACUGGCGAAGAAUUCUCAGGUCCUCCCGGGCCAAAACUUAUGCGUCUCGUCUACUUCGUCGGCGCCGCAGUGGCCUGCACCGUCGCAAUAAACAAAUGGCGCGAGUUUGAAAGCAAGUCAAUUAUUCAACAGAAGGAGAAGCAGUCAGGAGUCAAGGUAGUCGCGGAGAUCAGUAAUUCAUCGGAUUCUGUUGGUGUUCACAAAGCUCUCAAAUAA